UCAGCUCGAUCUGGACCUCCGGCCUAUAUGUCACAACUUACCCACUCAUAUAUCCCCUGAGUCAUAAACCUCAUCUCUUCCUCACACCCUACCAGGCCUACCAAUCUACCUCCACAACUCUCUCCUUGCUUCUCUCGAGCUAGCGUACUCUUUUUACCAAAUCAAUUUUUAGGGUUCAAACUUACUUUUUAUCAACCAUCACGCACUACUAACAGAGUACCCCAUGUAAAAUAUACAUAUAUGGUACACCCCCAUAAGAAGGUCACCCCCAUUUUCUUAUUUACCCACUGAUAAACUAUACAUACCCAAAGAAAACUAUCCCCUUAUGC
rnacentral:lncRNA from 1 species